rnacentral:rRNA from 1 species
CCUACGGGAGGCAGCAGUGAGGAAUAUUGGUCAAUGGCCGAAAGGCUGAACCAGCCAAGUCGCGUGAGGGAAGACGUCCCUAUGGGUGUUAAGCCUCUUUUGUAGGGGAGGAAUAAAUGCUACGUGUAGCAUUAUGCCUGUACCUUAUGGAUACGCAUCGGCUAACUCCGUGCCAGCAGCCGCGGUAAUACGGAGGAUGCGAGCGUUAUCCGGAUUUAUUGGGUUUAACGGGUGCGGAGGCGGUUUUUUAAGUUAGUGGUUAAACGUCGGGGCUUCACCUUGAUUUGCCAUUAAGACUGUAAGACUCGAGUUCAGACGAGGUAGGCGGAAUAAGUUAAGUAGCGGUGAAAUGCUUAGAUAUAACUUAGAACUCCGAUAGCGAAGGCAGCUUACCAGACUGCGACUGACGCUGAAGCACGAGAGCGUGGGUAGCGAACAGGAUUAGAUACCCUUGUAGUC